GCCUGAAAAAGCAAAAUAAAAGAGAAGUUGCGAAGGACGAUUUGAUAGGAGGAUACGUUUUAAGUUUUGGCCAUAUUAGGUCAACAAAUAAAAACAAAAUGUGGUAUGAAAUUUUACCAGGAUUUUUUAUUAUAUGUGGUUGUGUAACUUCCAUAGGUUUGGGUAAUGUGCUUUGGCAGAGAGCCGCAAAUGGAGGCAAACUUCGAAGAGUUGUGAAUAGCAGAUUUGAGUAUGCACUACUUAGGAGAGACAUUAAGUUAGCUGGAAUGGAUUGGAAAACAAAGGGAUUGGAAGCCCUACCUAAAGUAAAAUAACUUUGUCACCAAGCAUGAAAAUAAAGUCACUACUAUCAUCGUGCAAAUAGACAUUUUUUAGUUCAAAGAGAGCAUGAAUGGCCUUCUAAUAAAGUGGUUUAUUUCUUCGCUGAUUUUGCUGGCUUAUAGAGGACAGCAGACAAGUUCACUUGCAAUGUUAAAGUUGAAGAGGAUAAUCCGAUCAAUGUUAGUAUACGUCAACAAAGAAUUUCGUUCGUGUUUGCUUGAGAAUACAAGAUGACACAUCUGACUAAGCAACGAUGUCAGCUAUUUUGUGUCCAACUUGGCGAUUUCUUAAAUCUAAAUCUUAAAUCGCCUAAAACUAAAUACAGUAUGUACAGUAUUCAUAUACUGUAACCAUCAGUACAAAUGUAACUGGAUAUUUCACUUGUCAUAUCCACAUUUUUCACAAAUUAAUUAACUCUUGAGUGAAUUGAAGAUUGUAAAUAAAAGAUUUAAUAGAAAGCCAAA